rnacentral:snRNA from 1 species
AUCUCUAGCUCCUUUGCAUUUAAUCGAGAAAAUCUUUCGCCUUUUACUAAAGAUUUCCGUGCAAAGGUGCAUUUCUGCAGUCGCUGUAAAACUAAAGAGAUACCUGCUCCAGGUACU